GACGAACGCUGGCGGCGUGCUUAACACAUGCAAGUCGAACGGAAAGGCCCUGCUUUUGUGGGGUGCUCGAGUGGUGAACGGGUGAGUAACACGUGAGUAACCUGCCCUUGACUUUGGGAUAACUUCAGGAAACUGGGGCUAAUACCGGAUAGGAGCUCCUGCUGCAUGGUGGGGGUUGGAAAGUUUCGGCGGUUGGGGAUGGACUCGCGGCUUAUCAGCUUGUUGGUGGGGUAGUGGCUUACCAAGGCUUUGACGGGUAGCCGGCCUGAGAGGGUGACCGGCCACAUUGGGACUGAGAUACGGCCCAGACUCCUGCGGGAGGCAGCAGUGGGGAAUAUUGCACAAUGGGCGGAAGCCUGAUGCAGCAACGCCGCGUGCGGGAUGACGGCCUUCGGGUUGUAAACCGCUUUCGCCUGUGACGAAGCGUGAGUGACGGUAAUGGGUAAAGAAGCACCGGCUAACUACGUG
rnacentral:rRNA from 1 species